AACGAACGCUGGCGGCAGGCCUAACACAUGCAAGUCGAACGCACCGCAAGGUGAGUGGCGCACGGGUGAGUAACACGUGGGAAUGUACCCUUUGGUUCGGAAUAACGUUUGGAAACGAACGCUAAUACCGGAUGAGCCCUGUGGGGGAAAGAUUUAUCGCCAAAGGAGCAGCCCGCGUCUGAUUAGCUAGUUGGUGGGGUAAAGGCCUACCAAGGCGACGAUCAGUAGCUGGUCUGAGAGGAUGAUCAGCCACACUGGGACUGAGACACGGCCCAGACUCCUACGGGAGGCAGCAGUGGGGAAUAUUGGACAAUGGGCGCAAGCCUGCUCCAGCCAUGCCGCGUGAGUGAUGAAGGCCUUCGGGUUGUAAAGCUCUUUCGCACACGACGAUGAUGACGGUAGUGUGAGAAGAAGCCCCGGCUAACUUCGUGCCAGCCGCCGCCGUAAAAC
rnacentral:rRNA from 1 species